GUUGUCAGUUAAGUUUCUUUCUUACUGCAAGAAAAAUGUAAUUAACCAAAACUCUCCGGCAGCUUUUUGAGAGAGAGAGAGCCAGAGAGGACAUGAGGAGUGGAAGUGUGUUGAUUGGAGGUGAAAAAAUAUCAUCUGGGGAAGGUAUUGUAGUGCUGAUACUAUUAAAUGAAAAUAACUUUUUUAGUUUCCAUGUGAGCUAUGCUACUGAUAUAAUUCUUUCUACAUUCAUGGGGUUUUCCCCCUCUCUAUUUGCAAAUUGUACUUACUAUUUAAUUAGAUGCUAAUCUCUCUAUGUGUUGUAUCUUUAUUAAUCUAUAUAUAUAUAUAUAUUAUGUGCUAAGGCCUAAUCAUCUACUAACUAUGUGUUUAAUAUUUUCUGUUCUUGGGUUUGGAAUUUGACAUGCAUUUUGCAAAGUUUGAAAUGUUGGUUUUGAAGGCAUUUGUAUUGGUGCAGCAGCCUCCGAGUGCAAAAAAAUCUUGGGUAAAAUAAUAGAAUAGUUAAUGAACUAGGUCGCAAAUUAAGUUUAACAGGAUGCUGGAACUUCUUUCUUCUGAUCCUGCUACUUGAAAAAAAAAAAAAAAAA